UUUAAAUGCAGUUGUAGAUUUAUGUGUUCAAUGUUUGACCGUCCGUCUUAUUUAAUUUUUUAUGAUUAGUAUUUUUAUUGUCAUUAGAUAAUAAAAUAUGAAUAUUAUUUUAAACGUGACUUAUUUUUUAAAAUUUUUUAUAAAUUUUUUAAAUAAGACGGAUGGUUAAACGUUGGAUACGAAAAUCUACGACUACACUUAAA
rfam:Oryza nivara chromosome 9, whole genome shotgun sequence.